AUCCAUAAAGGCAGGAGUGACUGCUUAUACCAGUGAUUUUUAAGAGGAUCUGUGCAAGAGUCAAGAGGGAAUAUCAGCAGAAAUCUAUGGGACCACUUCACAAGAUUAUUCUGUGGCUCCCAUGUGUCUUGUAGCCAGAAGAGAUCCAUAACCUGUGAG